ACAUGAUCUUGACAGGCUGGACC
rnacentral:piRNA from 1 species